rnacentral:rRNA from 1 species
GCGACCGGCGCACGGGUGAGUAACACGUAUCCAAUCUGGCCUUUACUCGGGUAUAGCCUCUUGAAAGAGAGAUUAAUCCCCGAUAGUAUGCUUUAAUCGCAUGAUUAAAUCAUUAAAGGAUUCCGGUAAAGGAUGAGGAUGCGUUCCAUUAGCUUGUUGGUGAGGUAACGGCCCACCAAGGCAUCGAUGGAUAGGGGUUCUGAGAGGAAGGUCCCCCACACUGGUACUGAGACACGGACCAG